UUACAAAUGUUUUUUUUUAAUAGAGCUUCAGGAUACUUCCAAAAUGUGUGACGGACACAGUAAUGAACACAAAAGAACACUGUAUUAGCUUAUUUGGCCACCAUCUUCAAGUGGCCUAGAACAUUCAGCUAGCAUUGAAAAAGAUAUGAAGUGGUUCAGAGAACAAGAAAUUGAAAUUCCAGAGCCACUCAUGGAUCAACAUAAAUCAUCUUAUGUUUUGAUUUCGUUUUUUGGCAUCCAAGUGCCGUUGGAAGAUAUAAUAUACUCAUACUUGUAUUUAACAUGUACACUGAAGAAUCUCUAUAUAGUAAUAGACAUAGCGUAAGAGGAAUGCACUUUAAACAUAAGUUCCGAUAUUAUCUUACUGUCUUUGUUUUCUCAAGAUUAUUCAGUUUAAAUAGAGAGUGAGAUGAUUUCAGGUUGCUACCAUGUUCAGCGCUGAACUCUCGAUGAUAUCGUCAUCAUCCAAGUUGGUUGCUGCCACACCGGUCCUUGGGCCAGGAGAACCUACCAAUGAUUUUUAUUUUUCAUGUAGCUUGCUAUUUCUUAUUUUACAUGGAGGUUGCUUAAUUUGGUUUGAAUUAUGUCGCUUGAUGUUGUAUGCUCUGUGUAGCUGCAGCGGUUCAGUCCAUGGGGUCUUCUACAAGGUACCCACAAUCGCUGCAGUAUUUACUUAUCUAAGUUUGGAGUGCUUUGAUCUUGUUAUGUAACAAUACUUUAUUAAGGUGAGCUAGACAACAGUUUUUCUGUUAAAAUAUGACACCUCAUUUUCGUAUGUCCUUCUGUUCAUCUUGUAUUCGUCGUAUGGAGCAAAAUUCUACAGCAGUACAAGUACAAGCUCUCCUGAAGAAUCAUGCUGAAUACUAAAAGCUGCUCUCCCAAAGAAAAGUCUACUUUCUAAUUACCCCAUGUAUUUGUCAUGUAAUUUAUUAUUAUUCUUUUCUGCAAUUUACUUUGGGGUUUUGUGAGAUUCAAUCAUUCUAAAUUCAGUAUUAUUUUCAACAUAGUCUGGGAUAAAAAGUAGUCACUACAGAGUGGUGUUUCAAAUUAUGUACAUUAUGUUUUUCUAAUGAAUAAUCCUUUACUUGCUUCUUUCUUCAGCUUGAAAUUAGCCUUCUGGAGCAGAUCAGUUGAAAAUAGCUCUAUAGCAACAGGUACUGUUCACCUUCCCCAGUUCAUUAUCCUCAUGUGUAAGUAAUUAGAUAGACUUGGGUAAUGUUUGAUCUCCUCUCAGCAGUAUCAGACUCAUUAGGUCUUGUGAUAAUGGUUUAUUGUUGUCACUGUCUUCAUGUAGCUUGCUAUUUCUUAUUUUACAUGGAGGUUGCUUAAUUUGGUUUGGAUUAUGUCUCUUGAUGUUGUAUGCUCUGUGUAGCUGCAGCGGUUCAGUCCAUGGGGUCUUCUGCAAGGUACCCACAAUCGAUGCAGUAUUUACUUAUCUAAGUUUGGAGUGCUUUGAUCUUGUUAUGUAACAAUACUUUAUUAAGGUGAGCUAGACAACAUUUUUUCUGUUAAAAUAUGACACCUCAUUUCGUAUGUCGUUCAGUUCAUCUUAUAUUCGUCGUAUAGAGCAAAAUUCUACAGCAGUACAAGCUCUCGUGAAGAAUCAUGCUGAAUACUAAAAGCUGCUCUCCCAAAGAAAAGUCUACUUUCUAAUUACCCCAUGUAUUUGUCAUGUAAUUUAUUAUUAUUCUUUCCUGCAAGUUACUUUGGGGUUUUGUGAGAUUCAAUCAUUCUAAAUUCAGUAUUAUUUUCAACAUAGUCUGGGAUAAAAAGUAGUCACUACAGAGUGGUGUUUCAAAUUAUAUUACAUUAUGUUUUUCUAAUGAAUAAUCCUUUACUUGCUUCUUUCUUUAGCUUGAAAUUAGCCUUCUGGAGCAGAUCAGUUGAAAAUAGCUCUAUAGCAAUAGGAAAUUUAUGGGAACAAUGGUUAUCUGAUGGUAUCAUGCAAUGCUGACCUUAACCCAAUGCGAACUGCUGUCUGCGGAAGAAGAGAAGAAAGAUUUAUCAAUAAGGCCAAUAUGUGUGCAGAUCUUCUCCAUUCUAGAUCUGAACUCCUCUUGUUUCAUAAAGCACUAAGAGCGAAAAUAUUUGCAUUUGAGGAAUAUCCGCCACGAGCACCCUGGAGGGCGACACCUUCAUCGAAGCUCCCCGCCGUGUUGGGAGAGGAUGCGGGAGGAACGAUGGAAGAGGCAGAGCGGGAGUGGCGCUGCAGGAGGGUGUCUCGGAUGAAGGCGGAGGUGCGCCAGUGGAGUCCCCGGUGCUGGCCCGGCGGCCCGCGCCGAGAAGGUCAUACACUGCAGCUGGAAUAAGGACCGGUUGCGGCUGUGGCUACAUCGGGAUGGACGGCUGCUACUAGGGAGCGCUGAGCGGCGGCGGUGACUGGACGCUGCGACGGCGGUAGCUGGACGCUGCAGCGCUGGCGUCUGGACGCGGAAACAGAGGUGGAGGGAGCGCGCACCCGGUACAGGCGAUGCGCAGAGGCCCGGCGACCUAGGAGGGCCUAUGGGUUUUUUCGAGACCGGAGAAGGUGCAUACGAAGCGGCGGCUCCUGCAUGCGUGCGACUUCCAGUGCUAUGUGAGGAGGGCGGAUGUUGGAGGUGGCGCCGUCGAGGUUGCAUGCCUAGCACCGUGGAGGUUGCAGGCCUAGGGCCUGCACUCGUCAUGCCUUUGCGGCAGCCCGCUCCAGCCUCCAGCCUCCAGGUUCUGGUUUACAUGAUGAAUUGGCGACGAUACUGCAGAAGCAUCCGUUUCAUGCCUGCCUCAGAUGGCUAUAUCGAUGCAGUCAUGAUAAGGGAUUGUCCAAAUGCUGAUCUUUUAGAUUUGCUGCUCAAGAUGAGCAAUGUGGUUCUCUGGCUUUCGGAAUUUCGGCUCAUGUAAGGAAAAGUGAGAAACUAGGAAUUGCAGCCUGUGGGGAGGAUGAACUGGCCUCUUAUGUAUGCUCAAGAUCCAUGUUGUGGCCGGUUCAAUUGUACAUACCCUUAUGUAUGCUCAAGAUCCAUGUUGUGGCCGAUUCAAUUGUAUAGAGCACCAAGGAGGAAGCUCUGGGGGGAUGAAUAAAGAACAUGAGAUGCUAACCAUCCGGCUAUGAAGGGGUUUCUUGAGAGUCAAAGGAUGGUAUGCAUAUCAUAUUUGGAUGUUGUAACAAUAUUGAUCCUGCUCUAUUCAGAUACUUUUGAGAUUAUAAGUCAUUGUUGCCGUACAAAUUGCACCCCUUAUUAUGUGAAUGGAUCAUAUAAUAAGUUCAGAACAGCUGCAUUUACUUACGGUUUGUGCAUGCACACUUAUAUAUUUUUUCUCCCUCGAGCUGGAUCAUAUUCAAUGCACUCCAUUUUUACAGCUUCAAAUUGUUUUUGGGUAGGCUUCCCAAAAUAGGAAGUAUGGUUACAAUGAUGGAAUCUGUGAACUGUUGUCAUUUAUACAUGUAAUUUACAGGCUUUGUUUCCAGUUGAAGAAUAAGCCAUGGAUAGUAGUGUGGGCUAUUGAGUCACGUCCUG